ensembl:lncRNA
CGGGCUGCGUGUUGCGCAUGCGUCACAGACUACCUGCUGCGCGGGGGAAUCAAGCGCGCACUCAUUGGCGCACGGACUUUCAAUUUGCGUCCAAUCAGAUGGCUUGGUGGGCGGGGCUUCCAGCGCGUUACCAGGUUAGUGAUUCCCCUGAAUUAAAUGCCAUAACGCAACUUUACCUCGCGCGGGACGUAUGUGUGUAUGAGUGUUUAUUUUAUUUAAUGAAACACACACGUAGGCAGUAAAUAAGAGCUGAAACAGCGGCGUGUGGAGGAAGUGUACACCGAGCAGUGUUGUUAUGAAGGUAAUAAAGAAAGAAAAGACGUGCCGCGCCCUGUAACUUCACUUCCUCUAGCUCAGGUCAUGGAGUGAUCAGGAGAGAUGAGACACGCGGGUGAGUGGAGAGAUUAUUUUUAUUUUAUUCUAUUCUCAUGUAAUUGUAAAGGAUUGUGCGCGUGCGUGUACAGACUCGACUCUCUCGACCUCUAAUCUACAAAAGAAAGAAAGAAAUAACUCGUUUUCUGUAAUUGUCACCUUGAGUGAAGAUAAUGUAGUAGUAAUAAUAAUAAUUCUAAUAAUAAUAAUAAUGAUACUUGUAGAUCGUUAAUAGCCAUUUUAACAUCAGUAAUAGUGUUUUUGUAAAUAUAAAAGAGUGUGAAUGGUUUAUUUUGACACGCUGGAGUGAAUGUCUGUAAUAUUAUAAUGAAUUGAUUUGGAUGGUUAGUUUUGUGCUGUUUUAGCUGAAUGCUAAUUGUAUGUUGAGAUUUACACAGCUGAGACUUGGGAACAGUCCAAGUUCUACAUUUAUUACUGAAUUACAGUGCAGAUAACACACACACACACACACACACACACACACACACACACACACACACACACUGUUUCACUUUUUUAAAAAAAC